UGAAAAUGAACGGUCACUUUUUGUUAGGUUCAAAUGAUGAUUGUUUGCCUCCAAGAACAAGAAGAUUACAAAUUCAUCUGCUUUUUUGGUUGUUUGGUUAAUCUUUCCUCUGAUUGGAAUUUGUUUCUUCGGUAACUGAACUUGGGGGUUUAGGGUUCUUAUUUUUGGGAGUUGUUAAGCACGUGGGUUUACGUUGAAGUUGCAAUGGCGGAGGAGAACUCGGCGGACGCUAUUAAAUUUCCUUGGAUGAGGUGGAUCUCGAUCAAUUUAGGGUUGAUUUUUUCUUCAAUUGUGCAAGAAAAGGCAGGGAAUAUCCCACCACAAAAAAAACCCUCUAUAUAUUUGCUUUAAAAUGGAUUGCAAUCAUCAGGUCAGGAUUGUUUCUUUUUUUGGGUAGGCAAACUUCUUGAACUCUAUCUGAUGCUAUUCGAGAUUAUCACGAAAACACUCUGUUCCCUCAUAUGGUAAAUUCAGACUUGCACAGACAUUAUUUUCUGUUCAAUGGUCACUAUUUUAUGAAUGUUCACAUGCAUCAAUUUCUGUUGAAUAGUUACUAUUUGUGAAUGUUUCAGUUCCAGAGGUUUAUCUACUGCAGUAUUAGAAUUAUUUCAUACGGUCUUGUUGUGCAGCACUUAAUACCUGUCACAAAACUUUGUUUAGUGUGUUCUAUUAUCAAUGUUUAUUUUCAUUCUUGACGGUUUCUUUUUGGUAUUAAGAGUAAUGCAAGUUCAAAUGAUGAAUGCUUUCUAGCUAGAAAUCCUGAACUCUCGGGUUUGCCUCCAGGAAGAUUGCCUGUCCCUAUUUCCACAUCACCAAUUUUGCAAACACUCUCAAUGUCAGGAUCAAUUGUUACUGCCCAUUUGAAGAGCUGUCUAGUUUAUCCAAAUCUCAGUAUCUCAGUUCCACACAACAACAAGAGUUAACAGUUGAAUACAUUGAGGAUUUUGAUGACGAUGAUGAUCUAGAUGAACUUGACAGUCGAAGGUUUUCAAGAAGAGUUCCAAUGCUGCUGCUGAUCUUGUGCUUGGAUUGCCGUUAUUUGCUACUGAUUCCAUUAUCUUCUUUCAAAAUGUAUUCUUUUCUUGCUUUUACGUGGAUGGAUGGGAGAUACUUUUACGUGGAUGAUCAUCUCCGUGAAACAGCAUAUGAGAUCCUUCUUGCUGCUGCUGGACCUUCAGAUGCACGGAGGCCUCAUUGUACCAUCGAAGGAAAUAAAGAAGGAGAAGACAUCUGGAUUAAUGAUGAAGCUGGGCUGUAGUAAGAGUGACAAUGCAAUGACCCAGUCACAACAUUUAUCUGUAUUGGUCAUUUUGUUGGAGACAAUGCGUGUCCAGAUGGAGGUAGGAAAAUGAAUGACCUUGUUACCUUAUGUCAGAUGUCAGAUUGCUUCUAGCUGCUGUUGUUCGAUUCACACCAGUUAAUGGCAUAGAUAUCUUAUUAGUUUCUUGCCAUUAACUCAACAAGUUGGGAUAACUUGCCUGCUGUUUCAUUGCAAAUCAAUUAGGAAAUGAAAUAACUUAAUAAGCAGUAAUUUUUUCUGUUAGUUAAGGUUGAGGCGUUAUGCCAAGCGGUGUUCAAAUAUUAUCAAAGUACAGAGUUUCCUUGAGCUGUUAUGUUGGUUAUUUGUUUGGUAUACGGUGCUAGUCUCCACCAGUUGCCAGUUGGUAGUGAGUAUAUAAUGUAAAUAAUGUUCCUAGUGCUAGACAUUCAUCAUUAAUUCAUAAAAGUGAUAGCUACUAAAAAGGGAUAAAUUUCCCAAAGGGAAAUGUUAGAAGAUAAAGAGGGAAGAGAGAUAUUGAAGAUCAACUCUGUUAUUUAGGAAUUUACAGUUUCUGCUUACUGGGUUUUUACCUGACAGAUUCCUGGAGGCCAUGGACGUCAGGACAUGACUUGGUCUCCUUAAUGCGAUGAUUGGAGAAGUGGGUAAAAGGAUGGAUACAAUGUUGAUCCCACUGGAAUUGUUAUGUUGUAUUUCAUGUACCGAGUUUUCCGACAAAAAGUCAUAUAAGUGGAAAAGAGACAAUUCAGUUAAACAUGUUGGGAGGAGGGGCUUAUAAAUCAUUCUGCUAUAGGGUUGGGGAAUCUGGGAUAAAAGCACAUGAGCGAAGGGUUCCUUUAGCUAAGAUAGAGGAAUCUGAGCUUCAACUCAGAGUGUGGGGGGCUAAGGAUUUGAAGGCAGUGGGUGCACAUGCUUUAACAUACACUGCAUCUCCGACUCAGAGAUGCAAAGGACAAUGUUUAAAAUCUUUGAGAGAGAUCGCUGUGCCACUGGCAGAAGGCCAGCUGGAGGUGACUUAACUAGUGAAGUAUGUCACCGGGCUGAUAAUUAUCACCGGAAUGUCAAAUUAUACGAGAAUCUACUUCUCAAUGUUUUUGAUGUUUUAGAUGAGGGAAAGCUCACAGAGGAAGUUAAAGAAAUUUUGGAGCUUCUUAAGUCCACAUGGCGUAAUUUGGGAAUCACAGAAACCAUCCACUACACUUGCUAUGCUUGGGUAUUAUUUUGACAGGUCGGGAGUCGAAGAUACACUGAUAUAGAUAUACAUCAGUUGUAUAAAUGGGCCCAAAAAGCCCCCAUUUGUAUUUUGUUACUUUGGGCCUAAGCCCCUUCGUCUUUUUAUUAAUAUUUGUUAGCUAGGACAGGUGGAGGGUUGGACCUAAAGCCCACUAAAAAAAUCAAAUUUAUGUGUGAGUUUAGGACAGGUCGGGAGCCGAAAAGACACUGAUAUACAGCGAUAUACAUCAGCCAUAUAUUGUGUAUAAAUGCAGCAUUAAAUGGGCCCAAAAAGCCCCCAAGAUUUCAGAAAUUGUAUUUUGUUACUUUGGGCCUAAGCCCCUUUGUCUUUUUAUUAUUAUUUGUUAGACUAGGACAGUUGGAGGAUUGGGCCUAAAGCCCACUAAAAAAUCACAUUGAUGUGUUAGUUUAGGACAGGCCGGGAGCCGAAAAUACACUGAUAUACAGAGAUAUGCAUCAGCCGUAUAUGGGCCCAGAAAGCCCCCAAAAUUUCAGAAAUUGUAUUUUGUUACUUUGGGUCUAAGCUCCUUUGUCUUUU